GGCCUUAUAGUCAAUAAUGACAUUAGACUGCAAUUCUAAAGGAGUGAAAAAUUACUAAGGCUU
rnacentral:tRNA from 1 species